rnacentral:rRNA from 1 species
UACGUAGGGGGCAAGCGUUGUCCGGAUUUACUGGGCGUAAAGCGCACGUAGGCGGAUUGCUAAGUCAGGGGUGAAAUCCUGGAGCUCAACUCCAGAACUGCCUUUGAUACUGGCAAUCUCGAGUCCGGGAGAGGUGAGUGGAACUGCGAGUGUAGAGGUGAAAUUCGUAGAUAUUCGCAAGAACACCAGUGGCGAAGGCGGCUCACUGGCCCGGUACUGACGCUGAGGUGCGAAAGCGUGGGGAGCAAACAGG